rnacentral:rRNA from 6 species
UGGGAAGUCCUCGUGUUGCAUUCCC